GCUCGAGUGGCGGAAUUGGCAGACGCCUUGGACUUAAAAUCCAAUGUCGGCAACGACGUACCGGUUCGAGUCCGGUCUCGAGCACCA
rnacentral:tRNA from 1 species